UUAAUUCGAUACAAUGUGCAAAACCUUACCAGCCCUUGACAUAUGAACAACAAAACAUGUCCUUAAUAGGAUGGUACUGACUUUCAUACAGGUGCUGCAUGGCUGUCGUCAGCUCGUGUCGUGAGAUGUUUGGUCAAGUCCUAUAACGAGCGAAACCCUUGAGUGCAUGUGUUCAAUUAUUAUCAUUUUGGGCACUCCACCAAGAUGUAUGUGACAUGAAAGAGUAACCCAUGAUCCUAACACAUUGUGCA
rnacentral:ncRNA from 1 species